UAGUGACAGAGUGAGGGAAGGGGUGACUAGUGGCAGAGUGAGGGAAGGAAGGGGUGACUAGUGACAGAGUGAGGAAGGGUGUGACUAGUGACAGAGUGAAGGAGGUGGUGACUGUCACUAGUCACCCCAUCGCUCCCUCUGUCACUAGUCACCCCUUCCCUCCCUCACUCUGUCACUAGUCCCCCCUCCCUCUCUCUGUCACU